rnacentral:lncRNA from 1 species
GUCCCACGGCGCCCUCGCCUGUCCCGGCCUCAGCGGCGCCCUCGCCUGUCCCGGCCUCAGCGGCGCCCUCGCCUGUCCCGGCCUCAGCGGCGCCCUCGCCUGUCCCGGCUCUCCCUGUCCCUCCGCCGGCUCUCCCUGACCCUCCGCCGGCUUCCCCGUCUCCGGCUCCUUCGCCGGCUCUCCCACAGGGUUCUGACCCUCCGCCGGCUCCCCCGGCUCCUGCUCCUCCACCGGCUCCUAUUCCCCCGCCGGCUACCCCGUCUCCUGCUCCUCCGCCGGCUCCUGCUCCCCCGCCGGCCGUCAACCCUCCGCCGGCUCCCCCGGCUCCUGCUCCUCCGCCGGCUGCCAACCUGCCGCCGGCUCCUAUUCCUCCGCCGGCUCCCCCGUCUCCUGCUCCUCUGCCGGCUGCCGACCUGCCGCCGGCUCCUAUUCCUCCGCCGGCUCCCCCGUCUCCUAUUCCUCUGCCGGCUCCUGUUCCUCCACCGGCUCCCCUGUCUCCUAUUCCUCCGCCGGCUCCCCCGGCUCCUACUCCUCCGCCGGCUCUCCCGCCGGCUCCGGACCCUCCGCCGGCUCCCCCGGCUCCUGCUCCUCCACCGGCUCCUAUUCCCCCGCCGGCUCCCCCGUCUCCUAUUCCUCUGCCUGCUCCUAUUCCUCCGCCAGCUCCCCCGGCUCCUACUCCUCCGCCGGCUCUUCCGCCGGCUCCGGACCCUCCGCCGGCUCUUCCGCCGGCUCCGGACCCACCGCCGGCCCUUCCGCCGGCUCCGGACCCUCCGCCGGCUCCCCCAGCUCUUGCUCCUCCACCGGCUCCUGCUCCUCCGCCGGCACCUACUCCUCCGCCGGCUCUUCCGCCGGCUCCUGACCCUCCACCGGUUUCCCCGUCUCCUACUCCUCCGCCGGCUCCCCCGACUCCUACUCCUCCGCCGGCUCUUCCGCAGGCUCCUGACCCUCCGCCGGCUCCCCCGUCUCCUAUUCCUCCGCCGGCUCCCCCGACUCCUACUCCUCCGCCGGCUCUUCCGCCGGCUCCGGACCCUCCGCCGGCUUCCCCGGCUCCGGACCCUCCGCCGGCUUCCCCGGCUCCUGCUCCUCCGCCGGCUCCUAUUCCCCCGCCGGCUCCCCCGUCUCCUGCUCCUCCGCCGGCUCCUACUCCUCCGCCGGCUCUUCCGCCGGCUCCUGACCCUCCGCCGGUUUCCCCAUCUCCUGCUCCUCCGCCGGCUCUUCCGCCGGCUCCGGACCCUCCGCCGCCUCCCCCGGCUCCUGCUCCUCCGCCGGCUCCUAUUCCCCCGCCGGCUCCCCCGUCUCCUGCUCCUCCGCCGGCUCCUGACCCUCCGCCGGUUUCCCCGUCUCCUAUUCCUCCACCGGCUCCCCCGGCUCCUGCUCCUCCGCCGGCUGUCGACCCUCCGCCGGCUCCCCCGGCUCCUGCUCCUCCGCCGGCUCACGACCCUCUGCCGGCUCCCCCGGCUCCUGCUCCUCCGCCGCCGGCUCUCCUGCCGGCUCCUGUCCCUCCGCCGGCUCUCCCGUCUCCUGACCCUCUGCCUCCCUGGCCUGUCCCUGCAGCUCCGCCUCCCCGGCCUGUGCCGGCGGCUCCGGGCGCUGAGCCUCCGCCGGUCCGGGUGUGGUCGUCCCGGUCUUGCGGUCGGGAGCCCGCACCUUUGGGGGGGGGUACUGUCACGUCCUGGCUGUGCCCCUAGCCAUCUCUGCGCUGGGCUCGGGGCAUAG